CAUACAAAAGAAAUAUUGCAAAUGAAUAAAUUUUUUUUCUUUAAUUUUAAUCCCAUCUAAACCCGCUUAUAAAUUGGAAUUGUUAAUCCAAUGAAUUAAAGACUAAAUUUAGUCCUCCCUAAUCCAAUCCAAACAAAAUUGCCAAACAUAACAUAAAAUAUUUAAUCCGAAAGUUAAUAUAAUCCGACACUUAAUCCUAACUCCCAAAACAUAACCUAAGAGGUUAUUUGUUAAAUGUCUAAAAUAUGAAAUUUUAUUAAUUUCAGAUCUUUUUUAAAAUAUGCUUGUUUGUUUUUUAGAACUUAUGUCUAGUUUUCAGACAUUUACAUCUGAAUAGAAAAAAUAAACUUUUGUGACUUUUAUUUAAAUGGGAAAACAUAUGAAUGAGAAGUAAAUAUUAUAUUCUAAAAAUAUCUCCGUAAAAUAACUUAUUUUCUAAACUACAAAAUCCAAUAAUCUUUUUUUUUUGUUUUAAUUUACAAGGACAUAAAUGUCAAAUAUGUAAGUUUAAGAUGUUUUUUAUUGUAAAAACAAACAAGAUGCCACUUAUAUUCAGAUAUUAAAAAAAGAAAAAUAAAUAUGUCAUUCAAAUUUUUGUAUUGAUAUCCAUUCAGAUUUUAAAAAAAUUCAGACAUAUUAAGAUUUCAGAUAAAAAAAACAAACUCUACCUAAUUAAGUCUCUAACAAAUAACAUUACAAUACUUCGAAAGAAAGAGAGGCGUCACUGCUCUCGAUCUAGAGCUCCAACACCGGCUCACAUCUCACAUUGUCCUGUCAUCGUGUCAAGCCUCUAGCCUCUCUGUGACGCAGUCAAGCCUUCGGUACGCAUCACCGCGUCAAGCCUCUCUGUCACGCCGUCAAGCCUCAGUUACGUGUCACUGCGUCAAGCCUCUUUGUCACGCCGUCAAGCCUCCGUUAUACGUCACCACGUCAAGCUUCUCUCCACUGUCACAAGUCAUCGUCACGACACCACAGCACUAGCCAACAGCCACCAAAAUUGACAAACGCGGUAGCGACCCACCACUACACUACCAUGCCACCGCCUACCAAUACUCGGCAAAAUCUCCUCAAGACUUCGAGCCAUGGUGGCCAAGUUUGCUUCUUUAGGUCUUAAAGAGUAGCAUCAAGUCUUGCUUCUUCAAAUCUUAAAAAGUCUUAGACUCCUUGCGAGGUGUCACUCUAUUCUGACGCUCCCCAUUUGGCCUUUGGGGACGAAGCCUUGGAUUGGUCACAUACCAUGCCUUAGCGCAGUGGCAGGCCCAGAAACUAAAAUGAGGGGGGGCUUAGUUCAAAAAAUUUUAUUUAACUUAGAUUUUUUUUAAUGUUCACUUGAAUA
rnacentral:lncRNA from 1 species